rnacentral:rRNA from 1 species
GACGAACGCUGGCGGCGUGCUUAACACAUGCAAGUCGAACGGAAAGGCCCUGCUUUUGUGGGGUGCUCGAGUGGCGAACGGGGGAGUAACACGUGAGUAACCUGCCCUUGACUUUGGGAUAACUUCAGGAAACUGGGGCUAAUACCGGAUAGGAGCUCCUGCUGCAUGGUGGGGGUUGGAAAGUUUCGGCGGUUGGGGAUGGACUCGCGGCUUAUCAGCUUGUUGGUGGGGUAGUGGCUUACCAAGGCUUUGACGGGUAGCCGGCCUGAGAGGGUGACCGGCCCCAUUGGGCCUGAGAUACGGCACAGACUCCUACGGGAGGCAGCAGUGGAGAAUAUUGCACAAUGGGCGGAAGCCUGCUGCAGCCACGCCGCGUGCGGGAUGACGGCCUUCCGGUUGUAAACCGCUUUCGCCUGUGACGAAGCGUGAGUGACGGUAAUGGGUAAAGAAGCCCCGGCUAACUACGUG